rnacentral:rRNA from 1 species
GACGAACGCUGGCGGCGUGCUUAACACAUGCAAGUCGAACGGAAAGGCCCUGCUUUUGUGGGGUGCUCGAGUGGCGAACGGGUGAGUAACACGUGAGUAACCUGCCCUUGACUUUGGGAUAACUUCAGGAAACUGGGGCUAAUACCGGAUAGGAGCUCCUGCUGCAUGGUGGGGGUUGGAAAGUUUCGGCGGUUGGGGAUGGACUCGCGGCUUAUCAGCUUGUUGGUGGGGUAGUGGCUUACCAAGGCUUUGACAGGUAGCCGGCCUGAGAGGGUGACCGGCCACAUUGGGACUGAGAUACGGCCCAGACUCCUACGGGAGGCAGCAGUGGGGAAUAUUGCACAAUGGGCGGAAGCGUGAUGCAGCAACGCCGCGUGCGGGAUGACGGCCUUCGGGUUGUAAACCGCUUUCGCCUGUGACGAAGCGUGAGUGACGGUAAUGGGUAAAGAAGCACCGGCUAACUACGUG